AGAGGUGCUUGCAUCUCUUGAGAGCGGCGGACGGGUGAGUAAUGCCUAGGAAUCUGCCUAGUGGUGGGGGAUAACGUUCGGAACGGACGCUAAUACCGCAUACGUCCUACGGGAGAAAGCGGGGGAUCUUCGGACCUCGCGCCAUUAGAUGAGCCUAGGUCGGAUUAGCUAGUUGGUGAGGUAAUGGCUCACCAAGGCGACGAUCCGUAACUGGUCUGAGAGGAUGAUCAGUCACACUGGAACUGAGACACGGUCCAGACUCCUACGGGAGGCAGCAGUGGGGAAUAUUGGACAAUGGGCGAAAGCCUGAUCCAGCCAUGCCGCGUGUGUGAAGAAGGUCUUCGGAUUGUAAAGCACUUUAAGUUGGGAGGAAGGGUAGUAACCUAAUACGUUGCUACUUUGACGUUACCGACAGAAUAAGCACCGGCUAACUUCGUG
rnacentral:rRNA from 1 species